UAGGAAGUUGGUAAAUAGUUCAGAUUGUCAACAUCUUUUCUGUACACAGCUCUACACAACAUUUUUUUCUCUCUAUAAGACUCAUGGGUUUUUAAACUUGUGUGAAAUUAUUUCAGACCACAGAAAUGUUUAACACAUUUGCUUUUUACUGUUUGUGCUGUUGUAUUUGGGUUGGUGUGUUUGGUGAUUCAGAUGAAGUGAAGUCAGUGUCAGGGACGGAGGGAGAUUCAGUCACUCUUAACUCUGAUCUUGCUAAAAUACAGACAGGUCAAAUGAUAACGUGGACAUUUGGACCUAACGGGCCUCUUAUAGCUGAAACCGAUGGAGUGAUCCAUGUGAUCCAUGAUGGGCCUGAUGGGAGAUU